UGUAUUUCAUUUGGAUUUGAAGAAGCUUUGAAGACGUUUCCUGAUUCCGGAGGAGAAGACAGCAGCUUUGUACCUUUGCGACAGUUUUCAAAAGAAGACGUAGUUGAAGAUGUUCUCCAGCAGGACCAGGAAGACCACGACCAAGCAGCCUUGAGAGCUUAGGCAUCAUCUCCUUCAGAUCCACCAACCACUGGAACACAUCUCCAAAGUUCUCUGAAGCUCAGCUUCCCCUCAGAAGAAGUGCCGCCAGAUGAAGGAGCCUUUUGAGAGGCAGCUGGCAUCGUGAUUGGACGGUACUUUGGUCUGUUCCAAUCCAGCUUCAGCUCCAGAGACGGCAGGCGGGACGAGUCCACGGAGGCCGUAUGGACGAAGGCAUGCAGCUGAGUACAAUCCAGAAAACACCAGAGGAGGAGUGCAGCGGCCCAGGGCCAGAACAAACAGAGUAGCAUAGUAUGUCUCUGAGAAAAUAUCAUAGUAUAGCCUUUGGGAUGAAAAAACACCAUCAUAUACAUUGUAUAUUGUACAAAUAACAAGUCAAAGGAAAGAGACAUACAUUGUAGAGUUAUAGUAAUUGAGGGCUGACUGAUUUACUGAUUAUCAAUAUUUUUUACUGAUUUACGGUAAUAAAUCGAUUUAAAAGUGGCACUACGUUGGCUCUGAACCUUUAUCUACCUGUGGUCGCUCUGUCUUCUGUAGUGAUUUGAUUGGUUAUAUGUCACAAAUAAAACUCCUUUAACUUAACAUCUGUAAACAAAACAAAAACGUAUUAUCAAAGUUUUCUGUUAGAGUUUGUGUUCUUCUAAAUUUAACUCUGAAAAUGAAUAUCUACUCCAAAUGUCUCACUAAUAAUCAUUAUCAGCCUUAAAAACCCACAAAACACCCCUCUAUACUCGACCAUACUUAGUACAGUCUGGUUCUCCCUUCUAUAAAUCUGCCUGGAAUCUUCCACUUCCUGUUUGUCAAAAUGGCCUUCCAGCUGGACAGGUUUUGUAGGAGCUCAUGCAACAAACAUUUUGGGUAACUGCACUUUAAUAUGGAUGGAUGACACUGAAUUAGAGUCUGUUUUAAUGAGACUGAGUUCAGAUGUGUAGGUCUGUCAUUAAAUAGGAAAUUAUGUCUCAGAAUUCACAGAGAAACGUCAGAAAUGUUUGCUAGGUUAGCGUCCCACAUGUUCUUUGGCUCAGCUAAAGCUAACUCUCUCCAACUUCUGGAUCUCUGGAGUUGCUUGUUGUUAAAAUAUCUUGCUAGAGGUGCUGAAGCUCAAAAAGUCUGAGAUGUUUGUUCAAAAUAAGCUCAUUCUCAAGUCUUAUCUGAACUGUCCUCUUUUGUUUGAACUUUCCCUAAACUUAGGAGUUAAUGACAGAGCAGCACAUUCAGAUUCAGUCUCAUUUAUGUAGAGAUUAAACUUCAGUGUCAUUCAUUGAUGUUAAAGUGGAGUUUUUCAAAUGUUUGUUGCACAUGCUCCCGACCAAACCAGUCCAGGUGGAAGACGAUGUGAAGAGAGGCUCCAGAGCUCCGUGACUAUUAUUGGAAAGGUAAUAACAGACUGACACUCACAACACUGCAAAUAUAUCAUGGCAACGACAAAUAUACAUUCCAACAAUAUCAGCAGUACUCACUUAUUUUGCCACUCAGAGGGUUAAAAAAAAGUCUUAUUUAAUAAAUAAAUAAUGUCAAAAUAAGACUUUCUCCAGAGUGUACCCAUCUCAGAGUGUAUCCUUCCGUUGUCUCCAGGAGAUCAGAUAUUAUGUUCUGUAAAUAAGUUAUUGUGGCAUUUUAUAAUAAUGCCAGGUGGGGAGUGUACUGUAACUUUCACUUAUUUGUUUGAACCACCAGGACCUCCGGGGGCAUAAUUGUCUUAGGCGUUGUUUGCAGUUAGUGAUCAUAUGAUGCUGCCUCAGCCAAUGAUCGGCUUGACAGGAAGUGCUAACAGCUUCAUUAGCACGAGAAUGCUAGCCUCUUUUCACCGUCACCGUCUGCCAGUGCGUUCGUAACCCUCUGAGUGGAAAAAUAAGUGAGUAAAGAUGCCGAUGAUAUUGUUGGAACGUAUAUUUGUAGUUGCCAUGAUAUAUUUGCGGUGUUGUGUCAGUCUGUUAUUACAUUUACAAUAAUAGUCACGGUUUCAGGCUUUGGGGUAGUUUAGCUUUAGCUUUGAUUCAUCUUACGUACCUUAUUGCUUACCAGUCACCUGCAGCAGUUUUCUUAUUUAAAUUAAUCCAUACUUACCUGUAACAGUGAUGUGUUUGAAGUCUUAAGCAGUUUGUACUGUUAUUGACCAGCGCAUUCUGUAUGUUUAUUUCAGUUUCACACUUCUCUGUAUUAAAAUCCAUUCAACUACCA